GACGAACGCUGGCGGCGUGCCUAAUACAUGCAAGUCGACGAUAGUGGCGAACGGGUGAGUAACACGUGGGUAACCUGCCCAUCAGAAGGGGAUAACACUUGGAAACAGGUUCUAAUACCGUAUACUGAUGGAUGGACCCGCGGUGCAUUAGCUAGUUGGUGAGGUAACGGCUCACCAAGGCCACGAUGCAUAGCCGACCUGAGAGGGUGAUCAGCCACAUUGGGACUGAGACACGGCCCAAACUCCUACGGGAGGCAGCAGUGGGGAAUCUUCGACAAUGGGCGAAAGUCUGACCGAGCAACGCCGCGUGAAUGAAGAAGGUUUUCGGAUCGUAAAGCUCUGUUGUUAGAGAAGCGGUAUCUAACCAGAAAGCCACGGCUAACUACGUGCCAGCAGCCGCGGUAAUAC
rnacentral:rRNA from 1 species